rnacentral:misc_RNA from 1 species
GAAUUGCGAUAAGUAAUGUGAAUUGCAGAAUUCAGUGAAUCAUCGAAUCUUUGAACGCAUAUUGCACCUUCUGGUACUCUGGAAGGUAUGCCUGUUUGAGUGUCAUGAAAAUCUUCAACAUGAUAAUUUUUUUUGUUUUUGUCGUGUUUGAACGGUGAAGGUGUGCCGGCAGCAUGUCUGUUGGCUCCUUUUAAAUUGAUUAGCAUGGACGCGCAACAUCAGCUUCGAUUUGAUAAGUGUUUAGAUUGUUGCUGAGAUCGUGCCAACAAGCUUCUAAUUGUCUUGUAUGACUGUCUCUUUGGAGGCAUGCUAUCACAUUUGACCUCAAAUCAGGUAGGACUACCCGCUGAACUUAA